CGUACAUGCACGCUCCGAAACAACUCCCGACGCGGCGUGCAAGACGGCGACAGCAGUAGCAGUAGUGGGAAAUUUGAAGGAAUUGGCAAAGAAAGCAUCACUGUAGAAUGCGAUGCAGCGCUACGAGACUACAGCGGCAUUCCCGUGGCGUUUCAAGGCGUCCCCCAUACCGUAGACACCAUACCUGCACUGGUAGCUGCGAGAAGCAUGAGCGGAAUACCGUCUCGAGGUCUCCACACGGCACGUCCAGCUUCUGCACCGGUGCGCCUGCCAUUGCCCUGUCAAGUGCCAGCAGCAAGCGGCGUAUUCCACGUUGAUCCGGAGCAAACAACGCCAUAAUCGGCAGCCCGGGCCACAGGACCAUGUACGACGCCUCGUGGUCAAGAGACAGAUCCGCCAGGUUCUGGACGAGCAGACAGGCGAACACGGUGCCAUCGUCUACAGUCCACGCUAGCGUCACCUCGCCGCCGUGAACUUGAAGUACCGUCGCCGUGCGUGACAGCAGCCUCCAAAAGUUGGAAAGAACCGAAGCUGUCUCGAAGCGAAUGACAUGCCACGGCCGGUUGCUUCUUCGCGGUAGCAGCCAGCAGUGUAGCCAAGCAACGCAGCGCAGACGCUGGCUCCGGUCCGUCACAUCUUGCAAAGCACGAAUGAUAUCGUUCACAGCACGACGACGUCUCUUAUUCUGCAGCGGCGGUAGCCAAGGAAGGCCGGCAUCCUCCAGGGAGUAAAGUUGGGCCAUGGUCAACUCUUCGAGCCACGACUUCAAAAGCGUCAGGUCGACUGUCGUCAUCGUUAUUUGGGCGGUAUACAAAGAACCUGAUGCAUAACCUUUCUCACCGCGUGCGCUGGCGUGCGUCUAAAUUUUAAAUGUCGUACCAAAUUGGUCGUACAAAAAUCCUUCACGUGACCUGACCCUAGGUGCCUAGGGACACGAUCAUUUAAGGAUUUUUUAGAAGGCGCAAUGGAUGGAUAGAUGGAUGGAUGAUUGAGGCUCAACCCUUUGAAUCGGGUGGCGGUGGCGGCGCUGGCAUCGAGGUGCCCUAAAAGCCCCCAAAUUUUCUCUCUUGCGCCCGCUCUUACUCGCGCCUGCGCACAAACGACUGGCGAUCCCUCAAAUCUGCCUCAAAUGAACGUCUCGUUCAGAACUCUGCCGUGCAACGUCCUGAGGUGCAUCGUGCAACCGGUGCAACUUCUGUAGUGAAACCAAUCGUUAUGUGCAACGCCGCAAACCAAGGAAAUGCUGUGUGCUGGGUGACCUGAAGCAGCGCUUCCCUGAUGGAGCACGUAUGCUGAAUCGUCUGUAAAAUGUAAGAGCAGAGACCAAGCUCUGACUCAGCGGAGAAGUCUCUCGACGAAAGGACAAUGCUUCCUGUGUGGUGCGCACGAGUGCUUUCAUCAGAGUAAAAGUAAACUACUGCGUGGGACCUUACGUGUCUGACAAAAAGCGGGUGCGACUAUUAGAAGCGCUGCCUGCACGGUCUGACAUGCUGUUGGAGCAUUUAAUGCACGUUUAAACAGAGAACUAUUGACUAUGUGACACAUCGUGGGCUUCCUUUCCAUGUCAUUUCCAAGUAUGGCAAGUCUUCAAGUGGAGAAGUCUUACCACUGCACCAACCUUUAUGCACGGGGCCUUCAAGCUGCGGUGGCAUGCAAUACAGCUUAUGUGGCAAGUCAUCAGGUAGCAGGUGACACACAAUGUACAGAUCUUGCUCGCCGAAAGUGUGACAUGGCUGUUCCUAGUCUGAGCACAGCAACCAAGCUGGAAAAUGCCAUGGUUGAUGGUGGCAUCGAUGAGGGUGCAGAUGAGAGACCUGAAUACUUGGACAGCUCCGUGCAUGGCAAAGGCCAGGGAUGGCUAACAGCUAGUCAUGACAAGCGGCCGCCGCGCUGUGAUCUGUCUCCAUUCUCGGCAACCAGCAAGUUCCAUUUAUUGCAGCACUUUCAGAAGCACCAUGACCAGAGGUGUUUCAGGUGCACCGUCUGUGCGAAAGCGUUUUACAAGAGUGUGCACCUGGCCGACCACAUGCGGACCCAUACGGGAGAGAGACCCUUUUGGCGCAGCAUCUGCCUGCGUCAGUUCACUCAGAAGUCUGCCAUGGUGCGUCACAGGUUGCAGGUGCAUAAGCAAGGGAAAGACAGCUGAGGCAGAACAUCACUUUGCUUGCCUCGGCUCUUGAGGUUUUGGUAAUCGGUGCAGGAGAGAACCUCUCUGUUGAAGAGAGCACACCAAUGCACAACUGUAGAAUGCAGCUCUCUGCGGGGAUCUGAGUGAUGUCACAUAUCUCUGCGGCAAGUUGAAGUGUCUGCGUUGUUGUGAAUUAUGUUGGCCUUGAGAAAAGCCUUUAAUCAUUGGAAAUGUUGAAAGUGAGCUAAACACUUUUUUCCACGGUUGCAUCAUUGAUACCACAGCCCCUUCAAUCAUUCUUCAAGUCCCACUACCUAGAGAGUUUCAUAAGUAAAUUCAUUUGCCUUGACAGAAUUAAGAUACAGCCUUUUUAUGUGUGCGCGUAUGUGUGUCUGUCUUGUUAUUUUUUAUGAUGUGAAUCUGUGGUGCACAAAUAUAUGCUUUCAAUUACACAUUGACAUGUGCGAGAUUUGAAUCUCAUUUUAAAGGAAACUAAUAUGUCAUUCUGAUGUAUUGACACUGGUGCUAGUUGUCAGGCUUUGGCAUAGUGAGUGUGAGUGAAGCCUCCUUUGUAAUACAUGCAGCUACUAGUCGGUUGUGCCAACUGGGUACCACAGAAUUACCAGCGUCAUCACCCAUUUGACACUUCACUGUCUCACCAAUUAUUUCAAUUCACUAAUUGACAGUCCAGCUAUAGCUGCAAGUUAGUCCCACUUUUGUUCAGUCCUGUGACUGUCACUGUUGCAUUAUCAGUGGUUGGCUGCAUGUAAUAGAAACAGCAUGAUGGCUUCUACUUAUGCCCGCAGACUCACAUGCUAGUCAAUGCAUUCUGCCUGUGUUUUAUUUUGUUAGCAUUAACACUGUUUAAUGUUAUUUCAAGAGAAUUAAUACUUGCAUAAUUACUACCACCACCAACCCAUUUUGACUUUUGGACAAAGGCUUUCAAGAGAUCUCUCUUGUGUCCCCAAACCCCACCGUGUGCUUUGUCUAACCUCAUUGUGCCGCUUAAUUCCUUGUUGCCUUUGACUCUGUACCAUUUCACUUGACACCCUUUACCAUUUUGUUACUGUCGUAGGCCACCGGUUAUCUGUUUUUAACCACAUGACCUGCCAAAAUCAACUUUUUCCUUGUAGCCUGCCAUGUGUGCUGCUUUGAUUGCUGAGUGAGCUGCAGUAUGGGAUAAUUUAAAAUUAUCCACAUGUGUACAUGCGCGCACACGCAUGCACACGUACAGACAGGUGCUUGGCAAUAACAUCAUCUAUGAGGAAAAAUUGUAGUUCAUUUCAAAAAUGUCCAUCAUUAAGUUUUCAUUACCACAAGCCUUUCUGUAAUCUGAAUCAUGAAAGAAUUGUGAAGGUGCUAUAACAUGAUGUGUUAGUGUGGCACUAUUAAAAAUUACCUUACAUGAGCAACAAAAGACAUGAAGGAAAAAAGAAUGAAAGGUCAGAUAUUGUCCAUUUCCAUUAGGCAUUGUAUGGGGCAGUGUUCUACAAGGCUGUAGUUUGUGGACCCCAUGGAGUCACUAGGAGAGCUCAUUGGGGGUUUGUGGGCGCCCUUCCAAUGGUGCAUCAUGCGCAACCAUUUCUUAGAAAAAGCCGUCGCUGCAUCUAGAGAGAUUUUUAACGUGGCUUUAUGGAGGUGCAUUCUUGCUAUUGCACCUGACAGGAUCGUAAACAACAAACAGAAUUAUGAUAGCUUUAUAGUUGCUAUAUCAAACACCUUCGGCAGAAUGUGAGUGAGUUAUUGUUUCCAUCAGGUACUGUUGCACUUUGUGUCAAUGUGAGGACAUACAAAGCACCCGGAAACUUGACUUUGGUAGCUGCAAAUAUGUGUUUCUAGUUAAUAUUGCUCCAGGUUGAUGCAUUUUAUUGAUUUACUGUUGCGUCGAAAAGAGUGUUUGAAAAGUAUCUCUGAACAAUCUGGGAGAAAGUCUCAAAGUGUGUUGAAAGUUGAACCACUGGUGUAGACUACAGUCCUGCUCAGAUUACUUACAAAAAAAAAAGUCUGCUCAGAUUACUUACAAAAAAAAAAGUCUAGUCUUAAAUAAAGCUCACCUCAGCCUCGUCCCAUCCUAUGUGUAAGCCUGGCGGUGCAAUUUCUCUGUGGUGUUCAUCAUCCCCUGUUCUGCAUUUCUUGUUUCAAUGUAAUGAAAUCCCUGUGGCUUAUACUUGUGCUGUGCUUCUCACCUGUGUUGAGUGUUGUUUGCAUUGAUAAUCUUUAACCAUCUAGUCCAAAUACAUCUCCAUCUUCAAACAUUCAUUUGCAGUCAUGUUCCUUGAAAAGUUAGCAGAAAGUGUGCGUCACAAGUUGAAUGUAACAUAUGCAGCGGAGCGUGGAAGUCAGCCUUCAAAUGAAAUUGUGAAGUGUAGGACGACAGCAUGUCUGUUGAAACUAUCACGCAUGCAGAACAAACUGAAAUGUGUCGUUUUAGGCUUACCUUUUGCGGCAAGCGUGCAUAUCCCUGCGGAGUUGUUCAAUUUUUAUGGAAGAAUAUAUGACACAGUUUUGGUGAUACAGGUUGCUAGAGGAUCAUGCCGGCCUCAUCUCUGGCAGAUCUCAUUUUUGCUUUGUCUUAUGCUGCCUGUUUGUUUUUAAUGUUUGAUAGGCUUUGUUAAGAGGGAAGACAACCCACCCAUCACUGAAGGCCUAUUGUGCUACAAAUGGGCUUGUUUAGGUGAUCAGUAAAAAGUGGGGCAUUUUAUAGAAUCAAGGAGAGCCAGAAACCUUUUUAUUUUGAGAGUCUACUCUUCUCUGCCCUGUAGUACCACCAUCCUUUCCUGUGUAUAUAUUUUAUGUCACUCAAGAUAACUAUUUCGUGGAAGCUGCAGUGUUCCAUAUUUGUUGAUUGUCUUGCUGCCAGUCCUAAAUGAUUUUGCCCCUUAUUUGCUGCUGCCAGAUGUUCUGGAAAACUGUGUGCAGCCUUCCCAUUUUCAUACACACUCCUGUCUCAAUAGUUCAAAUUCAGGAAGUUCAAAAGUCAAGUAAUUGUAACAAUGUUAGGACCCAGUAUGUGUUUAUUUAUUUCCAAGUAAUUGAAUUUGAACACAGAUUAAUUAAUUCAAAUGACUUAGCUUCUUGGGUACAUAACAGUGCCACCAAUAACCAUUGAUAGGAGUGAAUCUGUAAGGCAAGAGUUGCCAAAAUGCCCAUGUUUGAUAUUCAGGUUGCUUUAAUUUUUUGUAUAUUGAUGAUCAGCUUGGCAGGGCCACCACAAGAUGAUGCUACCAAUACUUGUGUAACGUCAAGGUGGCAGCAUUUUCCAUGUUGUCAUUGGCCUUUCCAUGUUCUUGCCCUUUGUCUGAAUAAUAAGUGUUUAAAGAGGAGAUGGUUUCACUUAAACCCUUCUUGACAAUGAUAACUGAGAUUUUAGCAUUGAUCUGAAACUUCUUAAGCAUGAGUUUUGAACUGCUUUUCACGGUGCAAAAUUAACUGCAGAAGGUUAUUUUUGCAUGGCUGUGUGUUCUUCUUCUAAUGUGAACAAAGAAAGCCUAUGAUGCACGUUAAGUGGGACACACUGUAUAUAUCGGUGAGCAAACACCUCUGAUUAAUUAUUGAACCUGUGCACGCAAAUGUUCAACUGCCUCUUUAUCUCUCGUGGCUAACACUUUAAUUAUUCACUGCUUGUGUGUAGGAACUAUCUGAUGGCAUCAUGAGAUACGAACCAGGGGAGCCCAAUAAUAAACUCAAGACCGUCUUUAAUAUUAAACCCACACAUGUGGGCAACAGCACAAUAAAAUAAUUGCCUGUGCUCUGCUAGUCAUUUUACUAUCCUGUGAACUAGCACAAAUUGAGGUGUUACUAAGGGUUUGUCUUCCUGCAGUGAGUGGUAUAACUGUUUCUUUAGUGACUUGCACAGUUUUACAUGCACUUAUUUUUGUUUUCUUUAAUUUAAUCUGAGCUUAUUCUUUGCUUUUAUCAGAUCCACAUGUUACUCUCGCACUCAGUACAGAUAUUAGUGUAAAAGUGUGAAAACCUGAAAUAAUGUUAAGACCAAGUUGUGAAAUAGUUUGGAGAUUUCAGUGCACUGCUCAACUUGUAUUCAGUGGCAGCAAUAUCGCUGAAAUGCUGGCUUCGCUUUGUCGUGUGCCAAGGCUAAACAUUUGUCAUUUUGGUUUUGUUGCAGCACUGAGUCUGUUUGGUUCUGUCACUUUAAACACACAAUCGCUUAAUACAAGAACAGUUUCCACACAAUAAUUGAUGUACUGUUAGCAGUGUGUGAAGUGUGCUACUUGACAGCCCGUAAUGUGCACCACGUCUCACAAUAAAGCAAAAACCAUUUAA